UCUCUCAGAUAAUGAUGCAGCAGAAGAAAAUAUCUCUUUUAGAGUCUCAAAGUCUAGCCUUACUUUGUAGGAAGUACCACCCUCUCUCUAUCGUAGGCACAUUUAGUACAGAAAUUCUUGAGAGUGCGCGUGGAAUACUGCCAUUAAUUUUAGUCACUUUUCAGGGCAGACAGCUGACUUUAUAAAACGUAAUUGCUGAGAUGUAAAAUAUAAAGAUGGUGCAUUUAAAAAAGUAAUCACCAUAAGUAAUUGGAGUAUUUUCCUAUGUUGUUGUUGUUAAUCAUAUUUAUGUUUAGUGUCAAGGUUUGAGCCUCACUGUGAUAGGCAUUGUAAAAACAAGGAGAAAUAAGCGGUCAUUCGUCAUACAGCACAUAUAGUCCACGUGGGACAAGUGAAGGGAGGAUUCCUCGUGGUUCCUCAUCAGAAGACCUAGAACUUCUUCUGGUCUAUUACAGGGAAUUUACCAUUUAAGGAGAGUGUAUUUGGAGGCCUGAAUCGCUGAUUUACACAUUCACCUCAAAGCAGGUCAAAACCUUGGAAAGAGAAUGCUCGUCAAAGGUCAUUAAAGCACUGUCAGUAAGCACUGGGUGUGAAGAUAUCAAAUAAGAAAAUAGUAGGCAGAACUGAAGUGCUUCAGAAGGGUUCAGUCUGCAAGAAACCUUGUGUGGAUACAAUCUUGAACAGCAAAAACGGAUACCAUCACAGUGACGAUAAACCCAGGGCAAAAGAGAUUAAAAUAGUUGGGUGAACUGUCUCAGCAAGCAACGGUUCAUAGGAGAGCAUUCAUCUGCACUUUCUCAAGACUAUGUGUGCGUAAUUGCAGCACUUACAAUGAACAUCAGCAACAGUACAUUGAACAAUAUAACUGUUUGGAGUACAGCCAGUAAACUAUGUAAUUUAUUUUAUGCUGGUCUAAAAUGUUCUAAUGUGUGAUAGCUUGUGGAUAUGGACAACAUAAAAUUCUUGUGACAUAACAAAUUGUAAUACAGUGUGGUUUCCCAUUAUGGCAUUAUCUCAAGCAACUUUUACAAAGCAAUGAGUUGGGUACUCGGAGGCUGUGGCUACAUAUGCAGAAGAAACCUUUAAAUAAUCCACAAAUAAUAAAUUAUCUGACAUGCAGCUUGGCCUACUACAAAACAGCAUUUAAAAGAAAGGAGUCUGGGGCAUGUAAAAUUUUCUUUUUUUCCACUCUUUUCAAACAGUGAAAUAGAUGCUUCCACAU